GGGCAGUUAGUUCAGCUGGUAGAACAAACUAAACUCCUAUAAUGGAGAGGUUAUGGUCCGCGGUUCGAAUCCGCGACUGCCCACUA
rnacentral:tRNA from 18 species